UCUGUCACCGGAACAUAGAAUGCAGCACAGUAUUCGCCAGAAGGCGCUCAAGCUUCGAGCCAAUCCCCUUUACGGAUGGAAGGGCUACAACAGAUCCCGAUUCUACGCUAAGCACAUGGCCGCUCUGAUCACACUAAAAGGUUGGGAAAUUCUUAAGAAUACCAAAUGAAAACCAUUGUGGAAAAACUGUACUAUCAGGUUAUCUAUGGCGACACGGACAGUAUCAUGAUCAACACCAAACAGCAUCGAUUAUGGCGAGAUGUUCGAGAUAAGUGCUAACAUCAAGUAGAUCGUCAAUAAUACACAAAUGGUUAGAGCAGGACAUCGACGGUUUGUACAAGUACGUCCUGCUGUUGAAGAGAAGAAAGUACAACCGUUUUGAUAGCCAAGAUCGAGGAAAUAUUCAACUGCACCCAGAAGCAGAAAGGUUUGGAUAUCGUUCGGCGAAAUUGUUCGAGGCUGGCGGUAAUUACUGUAACUGUAAACAUUGGAUGAAAUCUUGUCGGACAAACCGAUGGAUGAGCGAAUAGGGAACAUUCACACACAGAUGGACAAGUUAAAAAUGAUCUCAUGACCCCACUGCAGCAGCUUCCCUCCUCGAAGGCACAAAGCAAAUAACUAUACCGCUCAAUAAAUAUCAGGAUACGAUGCAAUGUGAAUAAAUAAAAUAAUGAAUUUAAUACGAG